GAGCUGACUAGUGGUUAGACCAUAGUGCUUUCAACGCUGCAGCCUGGGUUCGAUCCCUAGCCAGUACU
rnacentral:tRNA from 1 species